rnacentral:rRNA from 1 species
UGGGGAUUUUUCCGCAAUGGGCGAAAGCCUGACGGAACAAUNCCGCGUGAGGGAUGAAGGCNCUUGGGUUGUAAACCUCUUUUCUCAGGGAAGAAAAAAAUGACGGUACCUGAGGAAUAAGCAUCGGCUAACUCCGUGCCANCAGCCGCGGUAAUACGGAGGAUGCAAGCGUUAUCCGGAAUGAUUGGGCGUGAAGCGUCCGCAGGUGGCUGUGUAAGUCUGCUGUUAAANANUCUGGCUCAACCUNAUAANNGCAGUGGAAACUANNCGGCUAGAGUGNGUUCGGGGCAAAGGGAAUUCCUGGUGUAGCGGUGAAAUGCGUAGAGAUNNGGAAGAACACCGGUGGCGAANGCGCUCUGCUGGGCCACNACUGACACUGAGNGACGAAAGCUAGGGGAGCGAAUGGGAUUAGAUACCCCAGUAGUC